AAACUUUCAACAACGGAUCUCUUGGUUCUGGCAUCGAUGAAGAACGCAGCGAAAUGCGAUACGUAAUGUGAAUUGCAGAAUUCAGUGAAUCAUCGAAUCUUUGAACGCACAUUGCGCCUCAUGGUACUCCGUGAGGCAUACCUGUUCGAGCGUCGUU
rnacentral:rRNA from 1 species